rnacentral:tRNA from 1 species
UGGUCUAGUGGCUAAGAUUCUGUGCUUCCAAUGCAGGGGACCUGGGUUCGAUUCCCAG